rnacentral:rRNA from 1 species
UACGGAGGGGGCUAGCGUUGUUCGGAAUUACUGGGCGUAAAGCGCACGUAGGCGGCUUUGUAAGUUAGAGGUGAAAGCCCGGGGCUCAAUUCCGGAAUUGCCUUUAAGACUGCAUCGCUAGAAUUGUGGAGAGGUAAGUGGAAUUCCGAGUGUAGAGGUGAAAUUCGUAGAUAUUCGGAAGAACACCAGUGGCGAAGGCGACUUACUGGACACAUAUUGACGCUGAGGUGCGAAAGCGUGGGGAGCAAACAGGG